AACAACAUUAUGAUGCGCAGUUUGUUUUCGUAUAAAUACAAAACAUGUUUUCUGUAAUACAUAUUUAAAGCAAAAUAACAUAGUUAGUGGACAUAAAGGUGUUUGCUAUGAAGGCGGUAUUACUGAUAUUCUGCUGUAUGUUAGGGGGAAUAAUGACUCUCAGAGAAAGUGAGAUUCAUUUUAACUGUCAUGGUAUAGCUGAUGGCGAAUCGUGUUGGAGAGAGGAUGGUGGUGAUUGGUGGAUAAGCGAUUGCAGAAAUGGCGUGUGUGUGGGUUUUUCUAGUCCUGGAAAUGGAAAUGCAUGUACCAGCGCUGCGUACUGUCGUAGUUUCAGUGGUUUGUGUCGUCGCUGUAUAGAUGGUCGUUGUAAUUAUCAUACAUGUAAGAAGAGGAGAUUUUCGGACAAUAAAAAGAUCAAAGAAAGCUUACCGUAAAUGUUAUAAAAUAUUUUCAAACAGUAUUUUUAUAUCAUUACGAACACAACUGCUUCCGUUAUCUACAUAUGUUUUAUCAUCUAAAAACGAACAGAUACAACUUAUCAAACUGCUCAACAAAACGAUAUUUUACGACUGAGUGUUAAAAUUUCAGAUUUGGCCAGAACACUAUGGAAAUAAACUCAUCACAGAUACCAGGAAAUUUGAGUUCUGUUAAUAAAUAACAUUUUACAAAACUA